rnacentral:lncRNA from 1 species
UCUUGCUUGUGAUCGUACCUGAAACAGAUAUGAACUUUUAGUGAGUUUUCAAUAGGAACAAGAACAGAAACAUGAUAUGAUUUCUUUUGGUUUUUUUAUGGAUUGGAUGAAUGAAAUCUAAAACAAAAGAUAGAGAAAAGAGUAGAUUGGCGGAUGGGAUCUGCUGCUGGACGUAUGUCUCUCUCAACAAGAUGCCUAGGUCGAUUAGGAAGAUAGAUAUGGAUCCGGCUCUUGCUGGACGUAUGUCUCUCUCAAGAUUCGGACAAGGAAUGGAAUGGAUCAAUGGACGCCACAAAGAACAAUGGAUCGGCUCUUUGAUAUGUCACACGGCUGCUCUCAAUGGUUUCGCACAACUGAAAGACUUAGGGUUUCUUUGCUAAAGCAAAAAUGUUUUCAUAAAAGACUUAGCCGAAAAGUUGGCAACUACAAGGGUUUAAAUAGAUGUUCCUUACUGGACUUUAAAGAUAAAAAGGGCCUAGACAAAUGGCCAAAGUCUUAACCGAAAUAAAAUAAAGAAAACAAUAGACCGGUCGCGGUUUGAGAUGUCCGGAUCAGAACUCAUAGUAUGCUUGCUUGUUGCCUCAUUAAAACCUUUCGGGAAAACCCAGUGGGACAAAACCUCGAUAAGGAAAAAGAGUACAACUCAUACUACUCCUUCUGAUGGUCGGCUAUAUCUCUGAACCGGAAGCAAGUUGGUUGGAUGGAUUGAGUAUGACGGUGGAAAUGGUCAGGCCGGCUUCAUUCUGGCCGAUGGAGGAGAACUGGCUCGAAUGGAAAGGGUCUGGAACCUCUAGUGGUUCACCGGUGUCUUCCAGCUUCAAGUCAGACUACUCCUGGACCUUGUGGUAGGACCUUUGCGGAUAAUGGGAACCUCAGUCGUGGGUACUACAACAUCCCCUCCCUCUUGACAGGUUCUGUCCUCAGAACAUCUCCGUCAUCUGCAAUAUAUGGAGACAAGUCAGACACACCGAACGUUCGGGAAACUUGGAACUCACCUGGCAGUUCUAGCUGGUAGGCAUUGUCAUUGAUCCGAUCGAGCACUCGGAAUGGUAUGUCCCCUCGUGGGGAUAAUUUGCUCUUCCUCUCUUCCGGAAACCGUUCUGGCCUCAUCUGGAGCCACACCCAGUCGCCUGGUUGGAAGAUAACUUCUGUGCACCCCUUGUUGAGCUUAAUCCGGUUCCUUUCAGCCUUCUUCUCCAAAGUCUCCUUGACUUGCCGGUGCAUGUUCUUCACAAACUCAGCCUUUUUGUCACCACUCUGGCUGACUUGCAUGGCUGGUGGCAAUGCGGCUAGGUCCAUGGGCGUCUCUAGUCUAAAGCCAUACACGAUCUCAAAAGGGGAGAGGUUAGUAAUAGAGUGCCUUGCAUGGUUAUAAGCAAACUCAAUGAAAGGCAAUCAACUCAACCAGUUUUUAAGAUUCUUACCCACCGUAGCCCUCAAUAACUGAGAGAGUGUACGGUUUACUACCUCGGUCUGUCCAUCAGUCUGUGGAUGGCAAGUGGUCGAGAAAAGGAGCUUGGUUCCAAGCUUUUUCCACAAUGUCCUCCAGAAGUGGCUGAGAAAUUUUGUGUCUCGACGUAGCGCCUCAUCCGGGGCCAAUAGAAGUGGUCGGACAGGACGCUCAGAGUUUUGUCCCGACCAAAAUGCCCCAUCAACCCACCCCCAUGAGCUUCUCUGGUCAGUAAAUCUCGCAUGGAACCAUGAGGAAUACACAGGCGUUUCUCCUUGAAGAGGAACCCGUCCUGCUGAUAGAGUGGACCCAUGGCUCCCUUAGCCGUGUUACUGUAAAGCUCAGGAAAAUCAGGGUCAGUUUCAUAAGACAUUUUGAGUUGCUCAGAACCCAUGAUCUUAGCCUUCAUGGUGGUAAUGAGUGUGUGGCGCCGGGAUAGGGCGUCGGCCACUACGUUGUCCUUUCCCUUCUUGUACUUGAUCACAUAAGGAAAAGUUUCCACUAACUCCAGCCACCUAGCAUGCCUCUUCUUGAGUGUGGUCUGGCCCCUCAAAUGCUUAAGAGUCUCAUGAUCUGUAUGAAUAAUAAACUCUUUAGACAAAAGAUAAUGUUGCCAAGUUUCAAGCGACCGUACUAGAGCAUAUAGCUCUUUAUCAUAGGUGGGGUAAUUGAGGGCGGCUCCACUCAAUUUCUCACUGAAGAAGGCCACUGGCCGGCCUACUUGGGUCAGUACGGCUCCUAUCCCUGUCCCUUAAGCAUCACACUCAAUCUCAAAAGGUUUAUCAAAGUUAGGAAGAGUUAGAACCGGUGCAUGUGUCAAACUAUAUUUAAGCCUGUUGAAAGACUCCUCUUGGGCAGGGCCCCAAGCAAAGGUUACAUUCUUCUUGAUCACGGAGGUCAUUGGGGCGGCAAUGGUACUGAAGUCCUUCACAAAUCGUCGAUAGAAACUGGCCAGUCCAUGGAAGCUGCGGAUAUGUCCGAUCGUGGUCGGGGUCGGCCAGUCUUGUAUCGCCUUGAUCUUCUCCUCAUCAACCUUCAGUCCCUGUGAACUCACAACAAAGCCUAAAAAUACCAACUGAUCAGUGCAGAAUACACAUUUCUUAAGGUUAGCAUAAAGGCCUUCUUGCCUUAAGGCUUUCAAAACCUGUUCUAGGUGUCCCAUGUGUUCAGUUAAAGACCUGCUGUAAAUCAAGAUAUCAUCAAAGUAUACAACCACGAAUUUACCAAUGUAAGGUCGGAGGACCUCAUUCAUGAGUCUCAUGAAGGUACUAGGGGCGUUGGUAAGGCCAAACGGCAUCACCAGCCACUCGUAUAGACCUUGCAUGGUCUUGAAGGCGGUUUUCCACUCAUCUCCUUCCUUCAUGCGGACUUGAUGGUAUCCACUCCUGAGAUCAAUCUUAGAAAACACAACAGACCCACUCAGUUCAUCCAACAUAUCAUCUAAUCUGGGUAUAGGGGACCGAUAUUUGAUGGUUAUGUUGUUGAUGGCUCGGCAGUCCACACACAUGCGCCACGUCCCAUCCUUCUUAGGCACUAGUAGGACCGGGACCGCACAGGGACUAAGGCUCUCGCGGAUGUAGCCUUUGUCCAUGAGAUCUUGGACCUGCCGUUCCAGCUCCUUAGCUUCCUCAGGGUUGACACGGUAAGCGGCUCGGUUUGGUGGUGGCGCGCCGGGUACAAGAUCAGUCUGAUGUUCUAUGCCACAGACAGGGGGUAAACCGGCCGGAAUCUCAUCAGGGAAGACAUCCUUGUAACGUCCCAUGAGGUCUUGUACUACGUCCGGUACUUCAGGAGCUUCUAAACCUGCAAAACAACCCUCCUUAAAGAUCAUUAGUAGCACCUGUGUCUCACGUUGUAAUGAUUUAAGUACUUGUCCGGAAGUCAUGUAAAGGUUAGUGUUACUUACCUGGCCGGACUGCGUCAUUGCCUUCUGCAUAUCAUGAACUUCUUGAGGGCUGAGAGGUGCUAGGCUGUGCUUCUUGUUGUUGUCGACGAAACUGUAGAUGUUGGUGCGGCCAUGGUGAAGUGUCUCCUUGUCAAACUGCCACGGCCUUCCUAAAAGUAUAUGGCCGGCUUGCAUGGGCACAACAUCACACUUGACCUGGUCUUGGUACUUGCCAAUACUGAAGGACACAACAACUUGUUCGGCAAUCUUGAGCUCAGUCUCAUAAUUGAGCCAUUUGAGACGGUAUGGUCGAGGAUGGGCUGUUUUGACCAACCCUAGCUUAUCAACAAGAUACUUGCUAGCCACGUUAGUACAAGAUCCGCCAUCUAUGAUCAAACUACAUACCUUGUGAUCAACACUACAUCUGGUGUGGAAGAUGUUCUCCCGCUGGAUGGUCUCUGGGUCAAAGAGGGUGCUAAGAGCUCUCCGGGUCACUAGCAGCUCGCCGGUCUCCGGGUAGUCGGUUACUUCCUCAUCAGAGAUCACUGCCGCGGCCUCUGUCUCAUCUUGGGAUUCAUACUCGCCAUCCCCCUUAAGGACCAUCACUCGUUUGUUUGGACAAUCCCGAGCGUAGUGGCCCUUGCCCUGACACUUAUAGCAAAUGUUGUCACGAGUACGCAAUGAUUGGGCUUGAGUCUUACCCUGCUUCGGUUUGGAUGCAUUAGACGAUUCUGCCUGGUUUGUCUUGAAUCGGCUCUCAAUCUCAAUCGUCUUGCCCUUGUCGCCUUGCUUUGAGCCCGGUUGAGUCCACGCAGGUUUGCUGCGGUUGGUGCUGGCCAUCUUGCGCUUGAUGUGCUGCUCGGCUUGCGUAGCAAAGUGCAACAGGUCGUUGAAGUCUUCAUACUGUUGCCUCUCCACCUUGCGGGCAAUGCGGUCUUGCAGCCCUUCCUGAAAUUGGGACAUCAUUGUCUCUUCGGGCUCGUCGGUCUCAAGCUUAUUCCUAAGUGCCUCGAACUCCUCAAAGUACUCCUCCACAGUCUUAGUUCCCUGCGUAAGUUUACGAAAACGUUUUAGCACAUCACGCUGGCCCGGACAUAGCAACGUCUCGAUCCCACCACGAAAGAGCAUUGUCCGUCAGCUGGGCUGCUGCUAGGGCAACCUUUUGGCCUCACUAUAUUGGUAAUAGUCGAAGAUGUACUCCAUGCGCUUCUCCCACACGAUGUAGGCAUCCGGAUCAACCUUGCCAGCAAACGUUGGGGGAUGAAGCUUAAGCGCCUUGCCUCCCAACCAAGGCUCUUCCUCCUCUCGGUCUCGACCUCCUCUAUGGUCGCGGCCUCCUCCUACUUGGGCCCGGGGUCCUCGCGCGUUCCUCCUCCCUCCCCGGUUUGGCCUCUCCUCGUCCUGACUGCGCGUAUCAUCGGUACUGUCCGCGUCCGAGUCAGUGUCAUGCGGAUCAGGCUGAUUCCUUCCUGGUGGUCGAGGUCCGUUGGGCCUGCCUCCCUGCCGUAGCUGAGCAAGCUCGGCAGUUAUAGCCCUAAGGCUCGCCCUCAACUCUUCAUUGUCGGCUAGGAGCUGAGCGUUUAUGGCCGCUUAAUCUUGACCUACAUCUCAUAUAGUUUCUCUGAAAAAUACUCAAAGAAAAAUUAGAGGCAAGAGGGGAUUAAAUAGUAGCUUGGGUCGGAUACUUGAGUAUCGACCAAGACUAGGAGUAAAUGCAAAAAUUUAUGAUAAAAAUCGGAUCAAGUUUGAAAAAGGAAAGAGGAAUAUUUUUUAUUUUUGAUUUUCCGAAAACUUGGAAAGAAAGUGAAACUUCUUUUAAUUUUUUUUAAAUGCAAAAAUCGAAAACUUGGAUAACAAUCCGAAAAUUUAAAAAUAAGGAAAGUAAAUAUAUAUAUAUUUUUUUGAAUUGUGACGGCUAGGGUUCAGAAAGAACUGAGUUUUGCAGGAAACUUCAGCUCUGAUACCAAAAGUUGUAGGCACGGGUCGGAGGGUCGAACGACGGACGGACGGAUGGCUGUUCCGCGGUUCAGCCUUGCCUCGGAUGGAUGGUAUUGGCCGGUUCGUCUCUUGCUUGUAAUCGUACCUGAAACAGAUAUGAACUUUUAGUGAGUUUUCAAUAGGAACAAGAACAGAAACAGGAUAUGAUUUCUUUUGGUUUUUUUAUGGAUUGGAUGAAUGAAAUGUAAAACAAAAGAUAGAGAAAAGAGUAGAUUGGCGGAUGGAAUCUGCUGCUGGACGUAUGUCUCUCUCAACAAGAUGCCUAGGUCGGUUAGGAAGAUAGAUAUGGAUCUGGCUCUUGCUGGACAUAUGUCUCUCUCAAGAUUCGGACAAGGAAUGGAAUGGAUCGAUGGGCGCCACAAAGAACAAUGGAUCGGCUCUUUGAUAUGUCACACGGCUGCUCUCAAUGGUUUCGCACAACUGAAAGACUUAGGGUUUCUUUGCUAAAGCAAAAAACGUUUUCAUAAAAGACUUAGCCGAAAAGUUGGCAACUACAAGGGUUUAAAUAGGUGUUCCUUACUGGACAUUAAAGAUAAAAAGGGCCUAGACAAAUGGCCAAAGUCUUAACCGAAAUAAAAUAAAGAAAACAAUAGACCGGUCGCGGUUUGAGAUGUCUGGAUCAGAACUCAUAGUAUGCUUGCUUGUUGCCUCAUUAAAAACUUUCGGGAAAACCCAGUGGGACAAAACCUCGAUAAGGAAAAAGAGUACAACACAUACUACUCCUUCUGAUGGUCGGCUAUAUCUCUGAACCGGAAGCAAGUUGGUUGGAUGGAUUGAGUAUGAAGGUAGAAAUGGUCAGGCCGGCUUCAUUCUGGCCGAUGGAGGACAACUGGCUCGAAUGGAAAGGGUCUGGAACCCCUAGUGGUUCACUGGUGUCUUCCAGCUUCAAGUCAGACAACUCCUGGAUCAAUAGUUACUUGAACCCGGUUUGUUCUUGUGCAAGCAACUCCUGGACAGCUUUGGCAAAUCCAGCUCUUAUAACUCUUGAACCGGACCUUGUGGUAAGACCUUUGCUUAUAAUGGGAACCUCAGUCGUGGGUACUACAACAGUUCAGUAAACACAGGACGUCUGUGGGUAUCCGUCAGCAUACACAGGACGUCCGUGGGUGUCCGUCAGCACACACAGGACGUCUGUGGCUGUCCAUCAGUACACAUAUCAGCACGUUGGUCCUUGGACUCAUCACGCUGACCCUUCCCGUGGACUGUUCGGGUGAUUUUAGCCCACGUGGGCUGUCGGUUCAGUACACACAGGACGUCUGUGGGUGUCCGCCAGCACACACAGGACGUCCGUGGCUGUCCCGUGUUUGUCUGUGUGUGUCCGUCAGCACACACAGGACGUCUGUGGCUAUCCAUCAGUACACAUAUCAGCACAUUGGUCCUUGGACUCAGCAACGCUGACCCUUCCCGUGGACUGUUCGGGUGAUUUUAAGCCCACGUGGGCUGUCUGUUCAGUACACACAGGACAUCUGUGGGUGUCCGACAGCACACACAGACAUCUGUGGCUGUCAGUGUGUGUCCGUGUGUGUCCAGUCAGCACACACAGGACGUCCGUGGCUGUCCAUCAGUACACAUAUCAGCACGCUGGUCCUUGGACUCAGCACACUGGCCCUUCCCGUGGACUUCUGGGUGAUUUUGGCCCACGUGGGCUGUCUGUUCAGUACACACAGGACGUCCGUGGCUGUCCAUGAGUACACAUAUCAGCACGCUGGUCCUUGACUCAGCACGCAGCCCUUCCUGUGGACUACUCGGGUGUUUUGGCCCAGGUGGCGUCGUCAGUACACACAAGUCAUCCGUGUGUCCGUCAGCACAAACAGAACGUCCGUUGGUGUCCGUCAGCACACACAGGAGCGUCUCUGUGGCUGUCCGUUGUGUGUCCGUGUGUGUCCGUCAGCACACACAGGACGUCCGUGGCUGUCCAUCAGUACACAUAUCAUCAUGUUGGUCCUUGGACUCAGCACGCUGACCCUUCUUGUGGACUGUUCGGGUGAUUUUGGCCCACGCGGGCUGUCUGUUCAGUACACACAGGACGUCCGUGGGUGUCCGCCAGCACUCACAGGACAUCCGGGUGUCCGCCAGCACACACAGAUGUCUGUGGCUGUCCGUGUGUGUCCGUCAGCACACACAGGACGUCCGUUCCAUCAGUACACAAUCAGCACGCUGGUCCUUGGACUCAGCACACUGGCCCUUCGCGUGGACUGUUUGGGUGAUUUUGGCCCACGUGGGCUGUCUGUUCAUGUUGUAGCAUGGGUCGGAGGGUCGAACGGACGGACGGAUGGCCGUUCCGCGGUUCAGCCUUGGCUCGGAUGGAUGGUAUUGCCGGUUCGUCUCUUGCUUGUGAUCGUACCUGAAACAGAUAUGAACUUUUAGUGAGUUUUCAAUAGAACAAGAACAGAAACAUGAUAUGAUUUCUUUUGGUUUUUUAUGGAUUGGAUGAUUGAAAUCUAAAACAAAAGAUAGAGAAAAGAGUAGUGGCGGAUGGGAUCUGCUGCUGGACGUAUGUCUCUCUCAACAAAGAUGCCUAGGUCGAUUAGGAAGAUAGAUAAUGGAUCCGGCUCUUGCUGGACGUAGUCUCUCUCAAGAUUCGGACAAGGAAUGGAAUGGAUCGAUGGACG